rnacentral:rRNA from 1 species
GAUGAACGCUGGCGGCGUGCCUAAUACAUGCAAGUCGAGCGAACCGGGGACGGGUGAGUAACACGUGGAUAACCUCCUAUAAGACUGGGAUACCUUCGGGAACCCUGAGCUACACCGGAUACUUAUAGAGGUUUCCGCGCUGCAUUAGCUAGUUGGUAAGGUAACGGCCUACCAAGGCAACGAUGCAUAGCCGACCUGAGAGGGUGAUCGGCCACACUGGAACUGAGACACGGUCCAGACUCCUACGGGAGGCAGCAGUGGGGAAUCUUCCGCAAUGGGCGAAAGCCUGAUGGAGCAACGCCGCGUGAGUGAUGAAGGUCUUCGGAUCGUAAAACUCUGUUAUUAGGGAAGCGGUACCUAAGCAGAAAGCCACGGCUAACUACGUGCCAGCAGCCGCGGUAAUUC